GCUCAGUUGGUUAAGUGUCUGACUCUUGGUUUUGGCUCAGGUCAUAUCUUGCAGUUCGUGGGUUCAAGUCCCUCACUGGGCU
rnacentral:tRNA from 1 species